rnacentral:piRNA from 2 species
GCACUCAAAACGUGGCUGCCACCUUUCGA